AGCCAAACUUCGGAAUUCUUGAUCCGAAAAUGUCUCUCUUCCAUUGCUGAUAAGAACACCUCAAUAGAAGGAGCCAAGAAAUAGUACUUUUCCUUCUCCAAGCCCUUCCCUUCAACCUCUCCUCCUCUCUCCCAGUUCCUAAAAAAUCCAUCAUCUAUCUUUGCUUCUGACAAGAGGGAACAGCCAUGAACAUUAUUUGGGUAUGUAACAUUACCAUUUCUCUUUAUUUCUUUUUUUUUGUCAAAAAUUUCUGUUUACUCUUAUGAUGUGUAUUGAUGAGCUAUAUAAAGUGCUGUUUUCUUCGUUCUAGGACUUUGGCACUCAUUGCAAGAGUCAUCUAAAUAUUCACAUUGGAUUUCUUUCCACGAGGAUUAACUAAUGGUUGAGGUAAUCCAAUUUGUGUUCAUCUUUCUUGUACGUAUUUUGAUUAAAAUUCAUUGUUUAGUAAGAAAUAAAGAACGUGAAAUUUUUUUUUGAAGUUUUGCAAUUUUCAUGGGAAUUAGAUGUUAACAACUCAGAAACUCGACCUACUUUUGUCUCCUCCUCUCUGUCAUGUUCAAUUUCGUACACAAUUUAAAAAAUUAAAAUUCACCAAGAGACUUUUGCUUCACAACAUCAAGUAUGCAUGUUUAUUGCUUUUCCGGAAAUUGUACAGGAUGACUUUCUUUUUUCAUCUUUUUGCUAAAUCAAAUGUAAUAAUUAGGAGUUUGAAAAUCUCUGCAUCUAUGUCAUCAUCCAUGUCAUAAGUCACUAAUAUGUGAUCUUGAAACCAAAUUCAAAGAAUUUCAAUUGAAACAUUAAUAUUUUGGGUAAACUUGACCUUCAAAAACCUUUACUUUGUGGAGUGACUAAGUUUAAUCCAAUCUUAACUAGUAAGGGCAGCCACGGUUUAGGUUUGAACUAUAAUCGGAUUGGAAUAGGUCAAAUGGUUUGUUGAACUAGAACGGGAAUCAGAUUUUAGAAAGUGGAAUCAAAAUCAUAACCGUGACUAAAGAUUUAGAUUUAGAAUCACCAAAAUUUUGAACCGAAACCGGACUAGUAAUUUACAACUCAUUCAGACCGUCUAAAAAAACAUUUGUUAUCUAAACUUAUUUGACCAAUUUAGAAUUUAAUAUCAAUAGUUAGCAUUUAAUAACAGCAGCUUCAAUCCUAAUCCAACAACCCAUUGUCUCAUUCCAUUAGUAAGUCUAUACUUUAUGACUAAUCUAAAUUCCAGACAAUCUUAUUAACAAUGAGAUAUUUUUCAUAAAAUUUGCAUCAUUUUUUUUUUCCUUGCACAUGAUAAAGCAACAAAGUUCUUUUUUUUUAUAUUCAUUGUCAUAUUUUCUUAAAAUCAAUUUUAUAACAAUAAGUAUUUAAACUUAACUAAAAAGGUUGUACCAUGAUCAAAAGAAACCAAAACCGGAACCAUAGGUUCAAGAAUUGUAGCUGUAACUAUCUUUAUAAGGAUCGGUUUAGAUUUCACUUUUCAAAAACAUAAGAACCAUCAGAUUUUAAAUCAAAACUGACGGUUCUAGAAUCGUGGCCAUGUUUACCAACUAGUAGUAAGUUUAAAUUGAGAUUUUCAAGUACUGAUUCAACCAAUAUUAGCUUUCUUCAUGUUUUUCCAGUGAAAUACACCAUUAGUUUGAAGUUAUUCUUUUUAAAAAAUAAAAAAUAAAGAUCUCAUAUGACUCACUUAGAUAGGGAUCAAUACAACAUGCUACAAUGAAUUAAAACUCUAACCAGUGCUUGGUGGAACAGUUACCAUCCUUGGGCCUCAACCUUUGACCAGCUCUCGUUAGGUAACCUAUAUCAUUGGCGAAUUAAUUUCAUCUUCAAUGCUGACCGGCACACCAAGGCCUCAUUGACGAAGCUAUUGUGCUAUUCCGCCUUUCAGGCACGUUCUUAUUGUUGGAUAGUCAGCGCCACAAUAAAAUGGGAUUCGGCUUAGAUAUCUCAUUUUGGUUUGAAACAACAAUUGAAACCCCUACGCAAUUGUUCAUCAAGUACCAAAAACAUCGUCAAGCUUUACCACAUCUCUAGAACCUUUUAACAAUUGUUAUCAGUUAAUUCACAUAUCAAAAUAUCUAAAUACCGAAAUCAAAAUGCAUAAUUUCUUGUAAACCUGCCAGCACAAACAAUAAUGGGAAGCUGAAAAAGUCCCAAAAAAAGGGGAUAAUUUCAGUAAUCUUCCCUGAAGUUUCUAGAAAUUUCACUAAGCUGCCUAAAAUUUUUAAAAAUUAUACUUACCUCCCCUAAUUUGCCACUUUUAAUAACCAAACCUAAAAAUAGGAUCAAAAUUUUAAUGAAUACCCUAAAAUGCCCCUAUUUCAUAAAGUUUAAUUUAUUCUUCUAAACAAUGGCACAGCAAUUUAGCACAAUUACAAAGGAAUGAGUAUCAAAUUUUUUAUGCCCAUAUUUGUUAUUUGAUAGUCAAUUACAACGAUAAAUCUCAUUAAAAUAGGUUACUUUUAAUUGUGCUUUAUUGGAGAUAGAAAUUCUUUUAAGAUGGAGAAGAAAGUGUCACCAUAAUUUUUUUUUAAUGUUUGUGGAUUAGUUGAGUGAUGGAACCACCAAAAUUUAAUAGUGAUUUUGGACCUUUUAUUUUUCAGUUAUUGUUAAUUUGGCUAGCGAAAAACAAAUACAUAAACAAACAAAAACUACAAAAGAAUUAGACGAUAUUCAAAGUUAUCAAAACAAUAUUACUAGUUUGACAUUUUAUCAUGAUGGAGCCAUAGGAACUAAUAGUACUAUGAUUUUGCUAACAAAAUAUAAGAGUCAUGGAUAAGAAGGGAAAUAGAAAAAAUAUAAAUAUAAAACCCAUCCUAUAUAUAAGCAUAGCAAAGUGACAAAUGAAAGAAUUUCAUUAGAAUGUUAAACCUAGUAUUGUCAUUUUAAGUGAACAAGGGAGGUAAGUUGUCAUUUUACAUGAACAAGAUAGGUGGAUAUAAUUUUUGAAACAUCAAGAGUGCUAAGUGAAAUUGUCGGAAACCUAAGGGGAGGUUUCUGAAAUUAUCCUCCAAAAAAAGGUGCAAAAGCUAACAUAUUGAAUUUGCACUUUUCCAAUCAAACAAAAAAGGCAAAGCUCUUUUCUUGCCCGUUCAAUAGGACUUGUGGCACCAAGAGCAGGUUGGGACAAGUAAUAUUAGUGAUUAAUUCGGAUUAAUUCCAAAUAAUACUAGACCCAUUCAGACCACCACACACCUUUUACAAUUACUCAACAAUCUUGCAAAAAUUUUGCAUGCAACCACUAUAAGGCUGAUCUGUAAUAUCGAGAGAAUCCCCAAAAUUUGCAGAAAAAAUUGCAGGGGAUUAUAUUUACUGAGAUGGUAAAGUAUGUACAACGUCUGUUUAGUAUAAAAGAAUGAUUCAACUCCAAAAAUUACGAAACAUUACCAUUUUCUUUCCCCUCUUGAGAUUUACCAUGAGAAGAACCAUCUUGUUCGCCUUGCUGUUCAAAGUGGCAGAUCUUAUCAUUGUUCUCCCCUAGCUCUUGAGAAUUUGAGUGCAAACAAUCAUCAUCAUCUCCCAUCCCACAAAGUCUGCAAGGAUUUGAGGAUCUCUGAGAGCACCAAUGGUCAGGAACACUGAGGAAAUGCGUAUCGAUAAACUUUCUGAAUCGCUUUUUGUACUCUUUGGGAGAGAUGAUAGUUGGCUGCUGGUUCUUGGGGACAAGGGAUGACUUGACCCAAUUCUCAAGUUGUUUGUCCCAGGUGUAUUGCCUCAGAUAAUCAAUGAUCCCACACACCAAUUCACGUUUCUGAGCAUCCACUCCCACUAGCAAAGAAUAAUCCAUAACAUUGAUAGACUGAAAGGAAAAAGCAAAGACAAGUAAUCAGCAGCUAAACACUGCAUCAUGCAUGACACCUGGGCAGUUGAAAGAGUAAAAUAAUCUGACAUACAGGUCAGCAUGUAGUAGCAUAGAUUACCGGAAGAAAUUAUACAAACUCACCUGGAGGAAAUUAGUGUCAUUCCAGACAGCCCGUUGCAGAAUUCGCUUUGAUUUCCUACUAACAUAGAGAGGAGAAACAUUCAUGUCAUUAACAAAGUUUUGGUCCAAAAGAACAUCAUCAGCAUUUCCUGUUGAAUUAAAUCGAGCAUGCAAGGCGCCUUUAAGAUCGUAUUGGCGUAUGAUAUUUCGACCAAAAGAAAGGUUCUCCAUCACCAUUAGAUCAUGUCUUGUCUCUUUCCCAUUUUUUGUUUGUCUAAUGGUUACCUGCAUUGCAAAAAAAUUCAUUAUGACAUUAGAGAAAAGAAAAACUUCACCUCAUUUUGCUGGCUAUACAAGAUGAUGUAAACAGACCAACCUGGUAAAUGCCAAGAAUUUUUGCAAGGCAGGUCUGGUUCCCAAGUUCAUAGCAUUCAUUCAUAUACUCGAAGUAAUUUGAAGCAAACUUCAAGAAAGCUUCAAACUCGGUCCUCUUAAUUUCUUUUAUGAUGAACCUAUCAUCUAGAGUUUUAGCAAAGAAAGAUUUACUCUUCCCACCUUUGGCAUCCCAGUUCCUGCAACGACUUAGGGAAGCAAUAUAAUCAAUUUCAGAUGGACAACAUCGAUUUCGCAGAUGGCGAAAUUGGCUGGAAUAUAAGCAUAUCACAGAGUAUUUUCGCUUUCCCGGAACUUUUCCAAUGCCCAAAGAGACUUCUGGAUGAACAGCUGCCAAAGACACCACAGAGUCCAAUAAAUCCAGACUAUCAAAGCUUGAGAAGUGCGACUCUUCUGAUGAUAUGCUAGUUGAAGAAUAAAUUCCAUCUGCAUCCAAAUAACCAGUUGAAGACCAAUGAGGGGAGGCAAGAGAAAAUAUUCGUGUUAGGCUCUGUGAAUUAUCAUUCGACGUCAUCAUCCCUUUUCCUUUCCUGAAAUCCUCAUCAAGUUCCUGACUCACAAUAGGUAGGUCCUUCAACAAGGCUAGAGCACAAGCAAUUAUGCUUGAAAAUUCAUCUUCAUAAUCUGAGACAACAUAGUCGUCCAAACCAAGAGGAAUUUGAAGUUUCGACCCCUCAUCAUUUAUCAGUUUAUAACCUGUAGUGUCUUGAGCAAAGCUAGAUACAGAAUCAAAUUUUGGGAAGUAACCUCUCCAGAGAUCAUUCAUGUAUUCAUGUUGAAUUUCUCUAAAUGGAGCCCACAUCCAGCCCUUUUCAUUUUCUAUGUUAAAAGACGACCUAAAAUGAGAUCUUACAGUCUGACAACUGUUUGAAUCAAGAACAGAACCCUCAACAUCAGUUGUAAUUGGUACUACUUUAUCUUCUUGCACUUGAACAAACUUUGGGAUAUUGUCUUGUAGAUUGUCAUCACCAUCAUGAGAGCCAUCAAAAAUAUCUGGCUUAUUUAAAGAAUCUUGAAGUGCUCCAUUUCCAAUAGUUCCUUGAACUAGUCCCUCAAUAGGAACUUCCUUUUGAAAAGAGUUUGCUUCUUCAGAUGUAACAAGCUUGAUUUCAAGACUAGGGAUGAUGUUCGAAACAUUUUCAGGAUCCUCUAUAGUUAUGUCUAGGCCAUCAGCUUUAGCUUGAGAAGUUUCCAUGCAAAUUUGUUUUGCUACUCUGCUGUCAAUGGUUUUACUCCCUGCCACAGAAAGUUCAGAUGAUAGCAGAUAAUUGAGACGCCUAUCCCAGAUGCGGGAUCCAAGCAGUAGCUCCAAUCGUAGUUUGUUUAACCUCAAAAACUUGUAAAUAGCUCCAUCCCCAUUCCCAUUCUUCAGAACAUUCCGAAUGUCAUCCUGAUUUCAGAUUAAGCAGUCCACGAAAAAAAGAAAAAGAAUAUAGGUAUUAGUUACCUAAAAUCUGCAGAAUAAAGCUAAGCAAAAUGGAACAAUACAAAAAGGGUAAGCAUUCCAAAAAUCACAAACAAAUAGAAAAUUUAAAAAGAGACUUAAUAUAUAAUCAUGCAGUUGUGAUAAGAUAGUUUAUAUAUAAUCAUUUAGAGACUUAAUAAAGAGUACAUUCACGAGUGCUUAGUUACUUUUUAACCAAAUUCCAAUCACUUCAGCAAUAAAAUCAGAUAACUAAUAGAUACAUUGGCACUUGAAGCAAAUUCAGAGCUGCAUGAUUUUGUUAGGUACUGAAUACCAAAUUGUGUAGUACUCUAAACAUAACCGCACCUCAAAUUGGGAUCUUUCCUCCUUCAACAUGUCCUCGAUAUCAGAGAAAUCUUUAAUUGUUCCCUGAAGAUUUAGAGUCAUGCCUAAAUAGCGGGAUCCUACCUCCUUCAAAGAUUUUUCUAUCUCCAGGAACAACGAAAUUCCUUUCUCGUACACCUUUCAAGACAGACAUAAUUUAAGUUAGCAGAAACUGAUCAAAAUAUAUGUGCCAUUGCUGAAAUCACUGGUACACUUGAAAAUACUUACAUCCUCAAACUCUUCCUUCAGAACCUCUCCUCUAACUGAAUUACCAAACUCCAGCUUCUCAGGUGUCAGAGAUACUGAAUAAGUAGCAACUUUUGAGUAUUUGAACAUUGCAACCAGAGGGCCCAAUCUGCAUUUGACCAAUAAUGACACGUUAUUUUCUUUUAUCUGAAUUCAAGUUAUGAUGGAAGUUUUGAUGAAAACACAACCCAAUGCAACAUAUCUAGGAUUUUUGUGAUUGGCAAUAUCAGUGCCAUUUAUAAUAAGCGUUUGCAGCUGAAAGAAAAGUUAAAACGUUUUAUGCUGUCCCCUCAACAGCCCCAGCUUACAAGGGGCCAAGACGAAACAGAGAAAACACAAGAAAAGAAAUCUCCAUGCCAGCCCAAAGAUUUAAUAAAAGGAAACAAAUAAAUCACUUCUGUAUGCCUACUUAUGUUUAAUGUUUUUGAACAACAGCAUGACAAGGAGAAAUAAACGAAUCACUACUUUAUAAGCUGCAAGUGAGUAUACCCAAAGAAGAAGAGAUAAUCCUGGUGUAAAGAAUGCCCACAACUAGAUUUUCUUCUAAAUGAGGAGGGAUUUGAAAAGCUCAGCUCCAGAAACUUUCCAAAUGAUAAACCACGAGCAGCAGUUGAUAUCAAGACUCUUUUCGUGGAUUUUGAGCUUCCAUUAUGGGAUACACAUUUACCACAGCAACUCCACAUCCAAAGUUUCCCGUCACUUUGACCAGGCAAAAUCUUAUCUGUAGGAAGACGUCUUACGUGAAUUGUGAGUUGCUUAUUAUGAUGCGCAUAGUAAUAAAAAUGGGCUUCUGGUAGUUGACCACAAGUCUUGCACUGCAGCCUCUGUAAAAGCCAACAAUUUCUGUUGAGCAUAAAAAAUAAAGCUAACUUCUGUUUUUUUAACUUUUUAAUUGAACAUAAUUUAUACUCAAAACUGUACAGUACAGAAAGUACAUCUUUAUUCAGAAAGUUCAACAAUUAUCCUUGCAGCUUUGAGAAAGAAACAAUUACCCUACCAACAUGCCACCAAAUACCUAAUUACCAUGAAAAAAUUAGAUGCUCUAAACAAAACACGGUAGCAAAUGUCCUCUCUACCAAGUCCCAUUACCACCACUAUGCCAGAGUGCAUCAUGCAGCCAUGCAAAAACUAAUAAAAUGUGAACAAAGCAACAAAUAAAAGCUUUCAAAGGACAAGAUGUAGGCAAAAUGUAAAACCUGAUUGAGUAAAUUUUCGUGCAAAAACUUUCCAAGCGGAACAUCAAAAUUCCUGUAGAACUUGAUAUGAGAAAAAUGACUAUGCUCACACAUGGUCCCUCUAGAAGAAUUUCGGCUUGACAUCAAAACCAAGAUACUCUCAGAAUCCAAAACAGCUUUGAUGUCAUCCUUACUAGGGAUAUGUUCUUCAUAAUCUCCACUACUCAUUUGUGUUUCAAAAGGCAUUGGUAGAGGAUGUGACUGUGGACGAUCAUGUCCUUUCCCAUCAUCAGCAGUAAUCUUAAUUUCUGUAUCACAGUGAUCAAUGGUCUUCUGUGAGAUAGGAAUCUGAACAUCAGUUUGCCCCUGAUCAUCAGAUGUCCUCCCAUCAAAGCCGAAGUAUGAAGACAUAGCCUGACUUGAACUAGAGAUAAGAGGAAAAUUAUCCCCCAUAACUUUUUUCAAAGAAGCUGAGAGAGAUGACAGCCCCGAAAGAAUGAGUGGAUUAUAUGACUCAAAUGAAAAUGACAAAUUAGCUUCGGGCUCCGAAUUCAAAUAUUGGGUAACUUCUUCACCAAACUCAUCAGAAAUGGGAAUUGUUGAUGAUGCACCAGAAUCAAUAACAGGAUCACCAUUGCAGGAAGUUGGAUCACUAGCUCCAUGGGGUGAUAAUUCUUGAUUGGUUAGUGCAAGGUUCACUACUUCACUAAUAGGAAUAGUUGAGAACAUUGCCCUCUGAUCUAAAAGGAAGUAAGUCUCCAAGAUAAAAUGAUAUGCCAUGACAACUGCACAGCGGACCACACAUUUGAUUCUCUUCAGUUGAUCACUGUCAGCUCCCAUCAACAAAAUCUGUCCCAUAUUUCAAAUACAAGUUAAGAUAUUUCAAUAUACUGCACUGCAUCACUCUGAAGACUUUUGAUGCUCAAUUACAAUUAAUUCUAGUAACAUGAUGGAAACACCAAGCAAAUUAACCACAAUGCUGGUUUUCAAUUGAGGCAUGACCAUUUAGUUGCUAGGGUGAAGCUAAAAUUUCCAUCAGAAAUGGGAUACAAACGUAGUACUUAAUAUUGGCCCUAAAACAAUUAAGAAAUUAUUAAUUCCAAAGACCAAAUGACAUGUAUAAUACACUACCAUUAAUCACGGCAUCCUUCCCAACAGGAAAUCAUAAUUUUGCAGAUAAUGACAGAAAUGUACAAUAUCUAACAUCAAGGUUUACUUUCACAUGUAUAGAAAUGUCAUCAUUCAAGUAAACAAAUCAGAAGGGACAAAAUCUAGGACAAAAUGGAAUUAUAAAGACAUCUUAAAGUUGGGAAAGUACUUGAUAAAGUAGACAAAAAAAGGCACCACAAAUCUCCCUUCCAACAAGAGAAUGUGAAAGACACAUAAAUGUUCUUUAUCUACUUCAAAACAUUAUGCAGGAAAACCAACUGAGGCAUAACAUUCAAGGUGCAACAAAAUAUAUACUGCAGCUGAGCUGUUCUAACUCAAGGCCCAUACCAAAUUACAAGUCCAAGCCCAGAAGUAGUUUACUGUUCUAUCUGGCUACUUCAAGCUUUGUUGGCACAUGAACUUGCAAGACCUAAGGAUUAUUCUAGUCAAACCUCAAGAGCUAUGCUCUUUCUAUUUAAUAGCCCAAGAUGAUGUAACCCAGGAUAUUAAUUCAUGGACCAAGUUAUAUCAACUCAUUGGCAUAUAUUAACUACAUCUCCUUUAUAAAGGAGAUUCAAGUCACUGAGGAAUGAGAUUUUUAGCAGAAAGAGGUUUUAGCUUUAAGAUACUCUUUGAUACUAUUGCUUCAAAGGAGAGAUCACUGGCUGCUAUGAGAUGUGAUUCCAAAGAUCCCUCAAAUCCCAUUGCUGAAAAUCAACUUCAAAAUCAGUUAUCACUACAAUUUAUCCCAUCCCUGAAAACUUAGAAAUUAGAUCUCAGCUUUAUAUUCUAGAUAAACGUCUGCAUCAAAUUUACUAGGUCAGGAAUACAGAACUUAAGGUUGCCAAAAUAGUAAAAGGUAAGCUCAUCUAAAACUAGCAAUCAUAUAUCAUGCCAUAAACUACUAAAAACAUUGUCCAGUUUUUGGAAAGCAUAAACACAGCACAUCUUCUUAAAUAAAAAGUUCUUCACAAAACCCAAAAUUACAUAAAAAUUGAAUUAUUCAAUAAAUAUCUGCUACAUGUACUGUAUUUAGCAUCUUAACUUAUCAUUUGUUUGACAAGAAGAAAAUUCAUAAUAAAAGUGUUAGCAGAAGUGAAUCCUGUAUUCCUGUUCCCUUUCACAAGAGGCAUUUUGCAUAAAAAUGCCAUACCCCUUGAACACCCCCCCCCCCCCAACAAAAAAAUCUCUGAUAUCAACCAUCAUUGCUCCAAAGAAUGGAAAGCUUACAUAUUCAAGUACUCCUUAUGCAUCAGUUGCAUAAUAAAAACUUAUUUAAGAGCUUCUAUGCUACUAGUUAGCAUGUUACAUGCACAUCUACUGAUUUCAAAUCAAAAUUGAACUUCUGCACCAAAUUUUUUCAAUCUACUGGCCAAAUUAUUAUCUUAACUAGUGACAAACAAGUGAAAACAUAACAGGUAUCUAUGCAAUCUAAUGGAAGCCUCUAGAUCUAGCCAAAAGAAUAAAAAAUAAGUUUAUAUAAUAAUGAUUAAGCAUUGCACGAUCUGAUUUGUCUUUUGACCACAAGGCAGAUGUACACAGCAACCAAGAUGAGUGCAGAAUGUACUUUGGGUCAAACAACGAACAGCAGAAAUAGAUGCAGUGCUAACUCUGAAAUUGAUCGACAAUAUCAGAGUCUCUGUGUCAGAAAUAAUUUCUAGUUAUAAUGUUUCCAAAUCAAUCAUUCAUGAGAAAGAAUAUAUCCUUCAGAAAAUUUAACUGAGGAAAUAGAGGGACAGUUAGAUAUGUAUCUAUAUCUACUUCAAAAGACAUUAUUUAGUGGACUUUAGAAGUUUCCCUACCUUCAAAAAAAUAAAUACAAAGAUAAGCCAAAGCACUCAACUAACCAAUGACUUUCUUCACAACAAGAAUCCAGGCCAAAAUUUAACUCAAGGAAAGAGUAUCAAAAUUUUGGAAUUCCUGAGUUCUGGAUUUUCUAAAAUCUUUAUCAAUUGUUGUGCACUUUUAGGUAAAAACCCUAUUUUACUUUUCAAAAGGUUUGUUCUGCUCACAAAGCACUGAGGGGUAUCAGCCUUGAACACAAAGAAAGAGAAGCCAAUUACUUAUUAACAUAUAAUACUCCAAAGUUUCUCAAACGCUUCUCAACAGUUCUUCCACCCCAUGGAGAACUUUUGGGUUCCUAGAAUCCAAAAGGUGCAUCUAAGACCACUGUCUCCCAUAUGAGAGUCAUCUUCUUCUAGUACAGGCAAAAAUUUUUGGAAACAAAACAUAGACAGUGAAAUUUGUAAACAUUUCAAUUUACUUUUGGGCAAUGACAAGUGGAUUUGCACCAUUAGUAUUUCUCAUGGCCAUCCAGCACUAAGCAAACAGUUGACUUAAACAUGACAAUGCAUAUCGCAAUAUAUCCAAUCAUUCUAAAAUAUCUUGUUUGAACAAAAACCAUUCUAACUUCAAUUUUCAAGACUAUGUUCUCCUAGUAUUGCAAUUCCUCUCAUUUCAUAAUUUUUGGCAGUAAAAUGAAGACUUAGAUAACCAGGGAUUUUGUGUGGCAUGUGGUCGAAUAUGCCCAUGUGCAGAAAAAGAAAGCUUCAAAAACAGCACGGAAAGUUUUGAUGACAUCUUUGAAAGAGAAUUUGUUAAUAUCCAAUCUUUGGGGUUGUGGAACUCAUCAUCCAAAAAACUCUGAAG
rnacentral:lncRNA from 1 species